rnacentral:antisense_RNA from 1 species
CUUCAACGAGCCCAGCCACAGCGGCCGUUGGGCCGUUCGGUCCUGUCCGUACGUGGCCAGCAGCGCCUGUGCCUC